AUGGACCACAACAAUCAGCGAGCAACUGGAAGGGAGUUUUUAGCAUCUCAUCAUAUACACAAUAUUUCAAUGCGGAUAUAGAUGUUGUCCUGAACAGAUUAAUAAGCUCCUUGCAUGCCAUUGGUGGAGAUUUUUUCAGCAAGAUUGAUGCCAAUCCUCAUUUGCCAUUUCAUACAUGUUCUUGAUGGUGCUACUCAAUGCAAUAAAUCCUGGGUGUCCGUAUUUCCACCUUAAUGGGCUGGAACCAACAAUUUUCCCUUUCUUCUCUGUUAUCCCUGAAAGAAUUUUGAAGCAUUUCAUCAUUUGGUCCACUGUAACUUCAUUUCCACAUAUGUUUGGUUUAUGCUGAUGCUAAUGUUUCUGAUAUUUGUGAUCGCUGCCCUUGGAAACUGUGCCACCUACCUGACAAAGAAACGGAGUAACAGCUGUACAACUUGGAGCUUUGAUGUCAGCUAUCUGAAUUUUCCCUUUUGUUCAAUCUAUGGAAAUGUAUGAAAUGCUUCUGGUGGCAGUGGCAUUUUACUUCUUACUUCAGUAUCUGGGUUCAAAUGCUAGUCUUGUACGUUGUUGGUGCCUGUGGGGAUAUCCUGUCUUCAUUUUAAUUCUCAGCUCUGUAGGCAUCCAACAUUUUGGUUGUCUCUUUGUUUUAUCUUUUGUUUUUCCCCUGAAGUAGCUCAAGUCAAAAAUAUGAAAAGAGGGAGGGGAAAACAAGCACACACAGUAGUGGGGUAGGGCUCAUUCUAGUACCAAUUUAUUUGACUGUGGAACCGGGUAUUUUGGAUUGAAGUUUCUAAUUAAGUGAAUUGAAACAGUAUUUUUAAAUCCUGUUCAUAUCUGAAACUUGGAUCAAAGGUGAGGAGGGAGGAAAUUUUGAAAUUAAUUCA